AUUGAACGCUGGCGGCAGGCCUAACACAUGCAAGUCGAGCGAGCGGCGGACGGGUGAGUAAUGUAUGGGGAUCUGCCCGAUGGAGGGGGAUAACUACUGGAAACGGUUGCUAAUACCGCAUACUAUCAGAUGAACCCAUAUGGGAUUAGCUAGUUGGUGGGGUAAAGGCUCACCAAGGCGACGAUCUCUAGCUGGUCUGAGAGGAUGAUCAGCCACACUGGGACUGAGACACGGCCCAGACUCCUACGGGAGGCAGCAGUGGGGAAUAUUGCACAAUGGGCGCAAGCCUGAUGCAGCCAUGCCGCGUGUAUGAAGAAGGCCUUAGGGUUGUAAAGUACUUUCAGCGGGGAGGCGUUACCCGCAGAAGAAGCACCGGCUAACUCCGUGCCAGCAGCCGCGGUAAUUC
rnacentral:rRNA from 1 species